rnacentral:lncRNA from 1 species
GCAAUAUAGUUCAAUUCUUUCUUUCUUUUUUUCUAUAGGUAGUAUCCUCAUGGAGGGGUGCAGUUAUAGUGUAUAUGGAGGAAGAUUUCAAAUUGUUUUUUUUUUCAGUUUUGCAAAUUGUAGUUUAUCCAAAAUUAAAUUAAGUCUUUAUCCUAACUAAAUAUUCUUUUUUAAAAAAUAUAUUUACAAGAAUAACUGUGACACUGGCUGUAUUAAAGAAAUA